rnacentral:lncRNA from 1 species
UUCUGAUGACCUAACAUUGUUAGGUAAAGGCACAUGUGUUGUCAGGAAUUAUCUCACUAAGAAUUACUUUAGCUCAUGUAGUUAGAAGAGUCAAUACCUUCCCAGGAAAAGCACUGAGUGGGUUAGUGGAAGGCACGCACUUAUCAAGCAGCAGUUCUUGCGCAGCAAUGCUUGUUGUAAAAGUGCUAAUAUUUAUUUUCCACACUAGAGGACAGUGCUUGAAAGAGUAACAGACCUUACCUCCAAGAUUAGGCACCACCAAGAGUGGAACAAUCACCCCAUUGUUAGCUCUGCUAACCCAUGUGCAAAGCACAUAAAGAUUUUAUUUCUUUGGCAGAAAAAAAUAGAGAAAUAAAUAUGUCUGUUCUAACAUGAAGCAGAAAUCAAUGAUGAUGCUGUCUUAACUUGCUGAGCACAGAGAAAGAGAAAUGCCAGUACAAUUUACUAAUCAGAAUUGCCAAAGAAUGAAUGGAAGAAGACAUCCCUAUAAAUGCAGACUUGAUAUCUUGGUGGCCAUAUUCCAAAACCACAGGAUAAACAAGAAAUAUCUUCCUGUAGCAUUGUUUUUGCUAAAUGACAAUGUGAGACAAUAAAACCCUGGUAUGAAAAAGGAG